rnacentral:rRNA from 1 species
GACAGAGGUUGCAAACGUUGUUCGGAAUUACUGGGCAUAAAGCGCACGUAGGCGGUUCGUUAAGUCAGGUGUGAAAUCCCCCGGCUCAACCGGGGAAUUGCGCCUGAUACUGGCGGGCUAGAGAUCGAUAGGGGUGAGUGGAACUCCAGGUGGAGCGGUGAAAUGCGUAGAUAUCUGGAGGAACACCGGUGGCGAAGGCGGCUCACUGGAUCGAUACUGACGCUGAGGUGCGAAAGCUAGGGUAGCAAACGGG